rnacentral:misc_RNA from 1 species
GGUACGUGAAAGAAUUCUAACUGUUGAUCUAUUCCGAAUUUGAUCAGAUGAUUUGUCGUGCUCUGGAAUUAGACCAGUUGAAAUUAGACACCUAGAAGGCUUGUGUGUGUGAGAAGCAGUAUAAUUCUAGGAGCUAUUCAGCUUGCUCUCAUGCACCAAUCAACCUCCUAUAAUUUUAGGAUUUUGGUAGAAACACUUUACUCUUUAGGUUAUUGAUAGAUAGUAACAUCUUUUCACAAAAGUUGGAAUCUUUUCUCAGUUUCCUCCCGUGACUGCCCAGUGCUUCAGUGUCUAGAAACUUAUCUAGCUAGCACUUGCUGUUUUGCAAUCUGCCAAUCGCCCCAACCUGUCACUAGCAUUGGACCCCAUUAUUAAGACACAGCAAUCUUCAUUUUGGCACAUACUUGCAUAGAUUUUAAUUUGGUUAAUGUCCAAUGUCACUUCUAAUAUGAUCCAUUAAACGAUUUUUCAGUAAUUUUACCAGGAAAAGAAACGCCCUUAUGACUAUUUGUUUGCUGCACUUGUCAUAAAAAAAAUGCUUAGAGAUUCAUAAUCAUAAUGUCAGACGAAAACAAUCAUUGUGAGCUAGCCUAGCAUGUCAUGGAUUUGGCUUGACAGGCUCUUUUCCUAUUAACAUUCUUGAAAAGGGAUGCUAUGUUAGUUGCAUUUUUUGGAUUUGGGUGUAUGAAAAUUGGAUCGUACCUCUACGAUUAUAAUUGCUUUUGGGAUUCCCUGUUGCGAUUUGGCCUCUAACGCUUUGUCUUCAAGUCAAUUGCUUCCUGCUGGCGUAACUGUUUAUGUGCAUGACAACCUAACUUUAGCAAUAUUUGUUCAUGAGUUCUGUUGUGUAACGUUUGUUUUAUUAAUAUAAAGCACUCAUGUCUUUUAUGAACUUCCAAGCGAGACGAUUAUGCUUGAAGAGAAAUUAGGUGAACAUUUUUCAACUUGCUGCCGCACAAUAUAUCCAUCAAUCUUCGCAAAAUACUUGAGAACUUGACAUAGGCUGCCGAACCAUAAAUGCAAGGCAAGAACCUUUUCCUGUUUUUCUAGAUAAAAUUAAUUUCAAAGCUGUCUCGAUUGAUAUAAAUGCAUAUACCCUUUUUUGGUUGAUCCAAGUUACACAUAGUAUCUUGUUUUGCAUAUAGAUCAGAGCCCUUUGGCCUUCGAUGAAGCAUCUCUCGACAAAUGGGUUGAUUUAGCAGAAGCACCUGCUUUACCAGCAAGUAUGAAUUUGUGCAAGGAAACAAAGCAGUCGGGAUUUACAAUUAUUUUAUUAGCUGGGCGGGGUGAAUAUCAAAGGAAUUGAAUGUCACAGGGAUAAUCUUCUAUUUGCAGGAGACAGCAAUUGGGAAAUUUGAGUUAUGUGAUGUAACGUGAAUUAUUGUGAUAAAUCUCACACCAUUAUUUGAAGAUAAAGACAUGUGAGAGAAGUCAUUUUCACUUAGCUGUAACAUCGAAGCUUUUUUCUAUGUACCUAUUCCAUCUUUAUACAAUAUACAUAUUUGUUAAAGUACGUUGUAAGUUGAACAUUGGGGUAAAGAUCAAAGUAUGGUGUAUGAUACAGGGAAGCUCCAGAUCAUGGCAAGUCUGCUACUCUUUACAAAUGUCAGAAAAGAUUGGAGUUGAUAAAUGAAGGCUAUAGAAUACAUGGGGACUCUGGAGAUCAGUGGAGUGAAUUAUUGGGGUUUGCAUUGGCAGAGAAAUCUUUUAAACUCCCAAAUCCAAUGUAUUACAUUCUGUAUAAAAACAGACCAAUUCUGUAAUUUGUUGAUACUGUUGUUUAUUCUUUGCUUAAUAUUCAACUUCCACGGCAUUGUUGUUC